AUAUUUGGUGCUCUACUCUCCUAGGGAACUGGAAGGAACCUGCUCUCUCCUGGGUAUACUUUUCUAAUUUUAGAGUGCUAAAGAAGCUCUUCUCACAGGGACCCGAGUGAAUCCUUUCUCCUUGGAACAAAGGACAAGAAAAAAAGAAAGGACUUUACCGCAGAAAUGCCACAUUUUGUUGGAACUCAGAGUUAUGAGUGGCCCUCGCCAUACCUACACUUUCUGACUGAGCUCCUCUCUACCCUGAAUACAAGAGACCCUAAUAGGCAGGAAUAUCAUCACCCCUCUUCAGCCUGAAGAUGUUACAGAAGAUGGAUAUUUGUCCGUUUACAACCCUUAAGAUUAAGGGUUCCCCUGUAAAAGGGAGGGGGAAAAUAUGUCAGAGAUGUUUGAACCAGAGCAACUUCGUCCUGAAUAGUGGCUCGGUAAAGUGAGGCUGACACCUAUGGACUGCAUUCCCAGGAGGUUAGGCAUUCUUAGUUACGGGAUGAAAUAGGAGUUUGGCACAAGAUGGGUCAUAAAGACCUUGCUGAUAAAAGGAUGUGGUACAGAAGCUGGCCAAAACUCACCAAAAUCAAGAUGUGAUGAAAGUGACUUCUGGUAGUCCUCACUCCUCAUUACACUAAUUAUAAUGCAUUAGCAUGCUAAAAGACACGUUCACCAGCACCAUUAUGGUUUACAAAUGCCAUGGCAAUAUCAGCAAGUUACCCUAUAUGGUCUUAAAAGGGGAGGAACCCUCAGUUCUGGGAAUUGCCCACCACUUUCCCAGGAAACUCAUGAAUAAUCCACCCUUUAUUUAGCAAAUAAUCAAGAAAUAACUAUAAGUAUAAUCAGUUGAGCAGCCCAUGCCACUGCUCUGCCUGUGGAAUAGCCACUCUUUUAUUCCUUUACUUUUUUAAUAAACUUGUUUUCACUUUAC
rnacentral:lncRNA from 1 species